CAGACAUGGCCAGCAGGGCCUAAGAAAGAGUCCACCACUGUUCCCCAUGAUCCCCGCAGUGAUGCAACUGGUCCUGGGACUGAUGAGGGUAAUGGCAGCUUUCCCUUCCUGUUUGAGCCAUAGAUGUUACGAGGAAAGAAGAAACAUCACUGCUGAGGGGAAAAGGCCAGGGGGGAAUAUUUGCCACAACUUAACUGAAACUUAUUCUUUGCUUUGACUACAUUUUAAAUAAAUAAAUAAAUAAAUAAUUUUGUCAAAUGAAAUUGUUUUCAA